CUGAAGAUUAGCAUGGCCCCUGCAUAAAGAUGACACACAAAUUCCUGAAGUGUUUAAAUUUUUC
rnacentral:snRNA from 1 species